UACGAAGGGGGCUAGCGUUGUUCGGAAUUACUGGGCGUAAAGCGCACGUAGGCGGACUAUUAAGUCAGGGGUGAAAUCCCGGGGCUCAACCCCGGAACUGCCUUUGAUACUGGUAGUCUCGAGUCCGGAAGAGGUGAGUGGAAUUCCGAGUGUAGAGGUGAAAUUCGUAGAUAUUCGGAGGAAGACCAGUGGCGAAGGCGGCUCACUGGUCCGGUACUGACGCUGAGGUGCGAAAGCGUGGGGAGCAAACAGG
rnacentral:rRNA from 1 species